AAGGGGUGUCCGAGGUAUUGGGCUGAGAUUAUACCCAUAUAACCAGAUCCGGAUAAUGCCGGCGUUGGGAAGAGGUUA
rnacentral:ncRNA from 1 species